CGCACAGGUAGGGCCAGGGGGCUCGCCCUCCCCUAUACCCGAAAUGGGCGUCACGCGGGGGCCAGUAACCCGCUGUAUGGGUAUAUGGAUAUACCCAGAGAGCCCCAGACCGCGAUGAACUCCGCCCUGUGGGGCCGGUGGUGAUGGGGCUACCUCCGGAAGGAGGUAGCUACCAUCUUUACAGGGGGAAAGCGGCCAGGCCCGGAAGGGAGCAACCUAACCCCUGACACCGGCGUUCACAGGUCCACGGAGUAGAGGUAAGGUCUGGGGAGCACUCUGGGUAUAUCCAUAUACCCAUACAGCGGGAGCUGUGCG
rnacentral:SRP_RNA from 1 species